UCUGCGGUUGGUGGUCAUCCUCAUGCAGGUUGGGACAAACACCUGUUCACAGCAGGGACUGAGUGAAGACAGCUGGGCUCUGAGCAUUAAACAUCACGGCCUUGGGGACUGCAGUGAAAGAGAAAAAAAAACAGAUACAGAGAUUAUCUAGAGGAAUUAGCAUGGUGAAAUAUCCAGGAUGAUUGUGAGAAAAGAAACAGUAUUAGAGGAGUAGCCUUUCAAGACCGCUGGA